CCUACGGGUGGCUGCAAUUAGGAAUCUUGCGCAAUGGGGGCAACCCUGACGCAGCGACACAGUGUGGAGGAGGAAGGUCUUCGGAUUGUAAACUCCUUUUAUGAGGGAAGAAUAGAUGACGGUACCUCAUGAAUAGGCACCUGCUAACUACGUGCCAGAAGCAUCGGUGAUGCGUAGGGUGCGAACGUUAUCCGGAUUUAUUGGGCGUAUAGAGAAGCGUAGGUGUUUUUGUAAGUCUUUAGUUAAAUACCACGGCUCAACCGUGGAGAAGCUUUGGAAACUACAAAAAUUGAGACAGGAAGGGGCGAAUGGAAUUCCCAGUGGAGCGGUGAAAUGCGUUGAUAUUGGGAGGAACAUCAGUGGCGAAGGCGAUUCGCUGGUCCUUGUCUGACACUAAGGCUCGAAAGCGUGGGGAGCGAAAC
rnacentral:rRNA from 1 species